rnacentral:rRNA from 1 species
AUUUCUAGAGAUAGAAAGUUACUUCGGUACAUCGGUGACAGGUGGUGCAUGGUUGUCGUCAGCUCGUGUCGUGAGAUGUUGGGUUAAGUCCCGCAACGAGCGCAACCCCUAUUGUUAGUUGCCAUCAUUCAGUUGGGCACUCUAGCGAGACUGCCGGUAAUAAACCGGAGGAAGGUGGGGAUGACGUCAAAUCAUCAUGCCCCUUAUGACCUGGGCUACACACGUGCUACAAUGGGUGGUACAAAGAGCAGCCAGCUCGCGAGAGUGAGCAAAUCUCAAAAAGCCAUCCUCAGUUCGGAUUGAAGUUUGCAACUCGACUUCAUGAAGUUGGAAUCGCUAGUAAUCGCGGAUCAGCACGCCGCGGUGAAUACGUUCCCGGGCCUU